AGAAACUUAGGAUAACUAAACCACAAGCCUUCAAAGCUGACCAUAGAAGUUAAACUCUUCUAGUUUCUG
rnacentral:tRNA from 1 species